CAAGAAUACGACUUCCACCUAAAGUCAUUACACGGAUUAUCCCCUAUGCAGGGAAGCGUCACAGGAAUAAAACCAUGGAGCUUUCUCAAGCUCUCUUCUUCUCAUGUAAAGGGCUCAAGCCAAUAUCGAACCACAGCUAUAAGGAGAGCUUCUGCAUCCCUCACGUCUUGCUUCACUGAAAGAAGCGAAGCCGUUUCAAUCCAGCCUCUUUUAAAAGUCACUUUAAACCAGGAAUGCUGGUUCCUUAUUUAUAUUACAUAAGAGGGUAUGGGUCAGAGAGGGUAUGGGGGUACGGCUCAGAGAAACCACAUACCCUGAAAGCAUGAAGAUAACGAGAUGGGAAAUGAAGGCCUUUUGGAAAGCAGAAUGUAUUACUCAAUGCAGCUGCAAUAGUUGUAUUUACACCAAAGCUACUAUGCUAAGCCAAUUGGCAAUAGUGUGAGCCUUUCCGACUGAUUAUUUAUUAAUGCUACCAUAUUUGAAAUAUUAUUUAUUACACCUGAA